ACGGGUGAGUAACGCGUGGGAAUCUACCCAUCUCUACGGAAUAACGCAUGGAAACGUGUGCUAAUACCGUAUACGUCCUUCGGGAGAAAGAUUUAUCGGAGAUGGAUGAGCCCGCGUUGGAUUAGCUAGUUGGUGGGGUAAAGGCCUACCAAGGCGACGAUCCAUAGCUGGUCUGAGAGGAUGAUCAGCCACACUGGGACUGAGACACGGCCCAAACUCCUACGGGAGGCAGCAGUGGGGAAUAUUGGACAAUGGGCGCAAGCCUGAUCCAGCCAUGCCGCGUGAGUGAGGAAGGCCCUAGGGUUGUAAAGCUCUUUCACCGGUGAAGAUAAUGACGGUAACCGGAGAAGAAGCCCCGGCUAACUUCGUGCCAGCAGCCGCGGUAAUACGAAGGGGGCUAGCGUUGUUCGGAUUUACUGGGCGUAAAGCGCACGUAGGCGGACUAUUAAGUCAGGGGUGAAAUCCCGGGGCUCAACCCCGGAACUGCCUUUGAUACUGGUAGUCUUGAGUUCGAGAGAGGUGAGUGGAAUUCCGAGUGUAGAGGUGAAAUUCGUAGA
rnacentral:rRNA from 1 species